UACGUAGGGUGCGAGCGUUAAUCGGAAUUACUGGGCGUAAAGCGUGCGCAGGCGGCGCGUUAAGACAGGUGUGAAAGCCCCGAGCUUAACUUGGGAAUUGCGCUUGUGACUGGCGUGCUGGAGUGUGGCAGAGGGAGGUGGAAUUCCACGUGUAGCAGUGAAAUGCGUAGAGAUGUGGAGGAACACCGAUGGCGAAGGCGGCCUCCUGGGCCAGAACUGACGCUCAUGCACGAAAGCGUGGGGAGCAAACAGG
rnacentral:rRNA from 1 species